UACGGAGGAUCCGAGCGUUAUCCGGAUUUAUUGGGUUUAAAGGGUGCGCAGGCGGAGGAUUAAGUCAGCGGUGAAAGUUUGCAGCUUAACUGUAAAAUUGCCGUUGAAACUGGUUUUCUUGAGUGUAUAUGAAGUAGGCGGAAUUUGUAGUGUAGCGGUGAAAUGCAUAGAUAUUACAAGGAACUCCGAUUGCGAAGGCAGCUUACUAAAAUACAACUGACGCUCAGGCACGAAGGCGUGGGUAUCAAACAGG
rnacentral:rRNA from 1 species